UGGCUCAGAUUGAACGCUGGCGGCAUGCUUUACACAUGCAAGUCGAACGGCAGCGGGGGCUUCGGCCUGCCGGCGAGUGGCGAACGGGUGAGUAAUGCAUCGGAACGUGCCCAUGUCGUGGGGGAUAACGUAGCGAAAGCUACGCUAAUACCGCAUACGCCCUGAGGGGGAAAGCGGGGGAUUCUUCGGAACCUCGCGCGAUUGGAGCGGCCGAUGUCGGAUUAGCUAGUAGGUGAGGUAAAGGCUCACCUAGGCGACGAUCCGUAGCGGGUCUGAGAGGAUGAUCCGCCACACUGGGACUGAGACACGGCCCAGACUCCUACGGGAGGCAGCAGUGGGGAAUUUUGGACAAUGGGCGCAAGCCUGAUCCAGCCAUGCCGCGUGAGUGAAGAAGGCCUUCGGGUUGUAAAGCUCUUUCGGCCGGGAAGAAAUCGUGGUCUCUAACAUAGGCCAUGGAUG
rnacentral:rRNA from 1 species